GGGGAAUACAGAAAAUGUGUUGCUUGCAGGGAUCUUCCUAAACUCCAAAGGUUUUAAUGAAAGGACCCAUACAGGAGACAAUCUCAAAAGGUCCAAAAUACAGGUCAGUGUAAAAUGUAGCUGACUGAAGGAAGACUGGUAAAUUCUGAAUUUUUCCAUAAUGCAUCAGGCAUCUCCUUUCAGUAGACAGCGAUGGAGCACACAGCUCCGACAAUGAGACCAGCCCAGCUCGCAGCCAGCUGCGCUCACCCCAGAGGCUCUCAGGGAAACGGCACACAAGCACUUAAGUCAAGGAGAUGAUCUGGCCUACCUGGCAUGCACUUCCAAGUUCACUUAAAGGCCUUGCCCACUGUGACUGCUUUACCAGGAGGGACAGAUGUUCAUUUGGAAGCCAGAAGUGUACCCUGGCCCGCAGAUGCCAGACAGUUGCAGAAGAAGAUGCCGGAAGAGCCCAGUGGAUGCAGAGCCACAGCUGAGCUCCUUGGAUGGCUUGGGGGGAGGCCUUUUGCACUCAGCUUCUUCUGGGGAUUCUCAGGUCCCGUGUGAGGAGAUGGAGUCACAGUUGCACCCUGUCCACCUGCAGGCCACCACACCAGCCUGGAACCCUGCCAUCUUCCUCAUCUCUCAGGCUCAUCUUCAUCUUGGGCCAAGUGGUUGGUUGUCCCUUGAAAACAGACAAGACAGAAAGGAUGCGUUAACUCAGCCUCUCCCCACCGAACGCAGUCCGCCAUUGCAGUUCCGAUUAAAUACAGGACAUUAUCUCACUGUAAUGCCCUCCUGGCAGCGUUCCCAGGAAAAUUCUAACUAAUCAUAAAAAUAGAAAGAAAAACGCAA